AUCGAUUCCUGCAUGGUCUCAGAGCAUAAAGUGGGCCGGGUGAGGGCAGAAGCAGGACACCAGAGGCAAAAAGAAGAAGAGUUUGUGGGGAAACCCAGUGCAGAGCCUGGGUGCUGAGAGGGAUGGCAUAAUGGAAGUAGGAGAUGGUAGUGUUUGUGGUUCUGCUACCUCCCUGUUUACACUUCUUACCUCCUCUACCUGGAGUAGGAUUCCCCAGUGAACAAACUGCUCUAUGCCCGGGAGAUCCCUCGCUACAAGCAGAUGGUGGAGAAGUACUAUGCGGACAUUCGCCAGAGCUCUCCAGCGAGCUAUCAAGAG
rnacentral:lncRNA from 1 species